rnacentral:rRNA from 1 species
CGUGUCGUGAGAUGUUGGGUUAAGUCCCGCAACGAGCGCAACCCUUGGUUCUAGUUGCCAGCAUUCAGUUGGGCACUCUAGAGCGACUGCCGGCGACAAGUCGGAGGAAGGUGGGGAUGACGUCAAAUCAUCAUGCCCCUUAUGACCUGGGCUACACACGUGCUACAAUGGAUGGUACAAAGGGCAGCGAAGCGGCGACGCAUAAGCGAAUCCCAGAAAACCAUUCCCAGUUCGGAUUGCAGGCUGCAACCCGCCUGCAUGAAGCCGGAAUCGCUAGUAAUCGCGGAUCAGCAUGCCGCGGUGAAUACGUUCCCGGGCCUUGUACACACCGCCCGCCACACCACAAGAGUUUGUAACACCCGAAGUCGGUGAGGUAACCUUUUAGGAGCCAGCCGCCGAAGGUGGGACAGAUGAUUGGGGU